rnacentral:rRNA from 1 species
GACGAACGCUGGCGGCGUGCUUAACACAUGCAAGUCGAACGGAAAGGCCCUGCUUGCAGGGUACUCGAGUGGCGAACGGGUGAGUAACACGUGGGUGAUCUGCCCUGCACUUCGGGAUAAGCCUGGGAAACUGGGUCUAAUACCGGAUAGGAGCCAUUUUUAGUGUGAUGGUUGGAAAGUUUUUUCGGUGUAGGAUGAGCUCGCGGCCUAUCAGCUUGUUGGUGGGGUAAUGGCCUACCAAGGCGGCGACGGGUAGCCGGCCUGAGAGGGUGGACGGCCACAUUGGGACUGAGAGACGGCCCAGACUCCUACGGGAGGCAGCAGUGGGGAAUAUUGCACAAUGGGCGCAAGCCUGAUGCAGCGACGCCGCGUGGGGGAUGACGGCCUUCGGGUUGAAAACUCCUUUCGCUAGGGACGAAGCUUUUUGUGACGGUACCUAGAUAAGAAGCACCGGCUAACUACGUG